UACGGAGGAUCCAAGCGUUAUCCGGAAUCAUUGGGUUUAAAGGGUCCGUGGGCGGUUUAAUAAGUCAGUGGUGAAAGCCCAUCGCUCAACGGUGGAACGGCCAUUGAUACUGUUAAACUUGAAUUAUUAGGAAGUAACUAGAAUAUGUAGUGUAGCGGUGAAAUGCUUAGAGAUUACAUGGAAUACCAAUUGCGAAGGCAGGUUACUACUAAUGGAUUGACGCUGAUGGACGAAAGCGUGGGUAGCGAACAGG
rnacentral:rRNA from 1 species